rnacentral:rRNA from 1 species
UACGGGGGGGGCAAGCGUUGUUCGGAAUUACUGGGCGUAAAGGGCUCGUAGGCGGCCAACUAAGUCGGAUGUGAAAUCCCCAGGCUUAACCUGGGAACUGCAUCCGAUACUGGAUGGCUUGAAUCCGGGAGAGGGAUGCAGAAUUCCAGGUGUAGCGGUGAAAUGCGUAGAUAUCUGGAAGAAUACCGGUGGCGAAGGCGGCAUCCUGGACCGGCAUUGACGCUGAGUGAGCGAAAGCCAGGGGAGCAAACGGG